UACGAGGGGGGCGAGCGUUGUUCGGAAUUAUUGGGCGUAAAGGGUGCGUAGGCGGUUUGGUAAGUCUUAUGUGAAAUCUACAGGCUCAACUUGUAGUCUGCAUGAGAAACUGCCGGGCUUGAGUAUGGGAGAGGUGAGUGGAAUUCCUGGUGUAGCGGUGAAAUGCGUAGAUAUCAGGAGGAACACCUGUGGCGAAAGCGGCUCACUGGACCAUAACUGACGCUGAUGCACGAAAGCUAGGGUAGCAAACAGG
rnacentral:rRNA from 1 species